rnacentral:rRNA from 1 species
CCUACGGGAUGCACCAGUGGGGAAUUUUGGACAAUGGGGGCAACCCUGAUCCAGCCAUGCCGCGUGUGUGAAGAAGGCCUUCGGGUUGUAAAGCACUUUCGGCCGGAACGAAAUCGCGUGGGCUAACACCCCGCGUGGAUGACGGUACCGGAAGAAGAAGCACCGGCUAACUACGUGCCAGCAGCCGCGGUAAUACGUAGGGUGCGAGCGUUAAUCGGAACUACUGGGCGUAAAGUGUGCACAGGUGGCCGCGCAAGUCGAGUGUGAAAGCCCCGGGCUUAACUUGGGAAUUGCGCUCGAAACUACGUGGCUAGAGUGUGGCAGAGGGAGGUGGAAUUCCACGUGUAGCGGUGAAAUGCGUAGAGAUGUGGAGGAACACCAAUGGCGAAGGCAGCCUCCUGGGCCAACACUGACACUCAUGCACGAAAGCGUGGGGAGCAAACAGGAUUAGAUACCCGGGUAGUC